rnacentral:rRNA from 1 species
AUGCUCUUCAGUCGGAAGCUUCUCCCAUGGCCGUGCCCAAGACAGUCACAAGCCCAGGCUCUGCUCUGCCGCCCAUUUUCCGCCUUCUACCCAACCAACCCCGACGAUGACGACCCUCCGUUUACACGGAUCCCCAAAACCCCACCUCGAGCUUCGGCGCCGGCGCCGCCACCGCCGAAGCCCAAAGACCAGCCUGCCAAGAUCAGCCCCGACGAGCCGGCACACUCCGACCUUCCCUUCGACUUCCGGUACUCGUACUCGGAGACUGACCCGACCUGGAGGCCCAUUGGGUUCCGCGAGCCAACCCGGUUUUCGCCCUUCGGCCCCGGCCGCCUUGACCGGCCUUGGGACGGCGUCGUCGCCGCCGCCGUGCGCGCCGAAGGGAACAGAGAGGAUGUUUGUGGCGGUCCGAGUCGUAGGGAUGAGGUGCUUGGCGAGGCACUGUCGGAAGCGGAGGUGGCAGAGCUCGUGGAGAGGUACCGGCACAGCGACUGCUCCCGGCAGAUCAAUUUGGGGAAAGAUGGUGUAACUCAUAAUAUGCUCGAUGACAUCCACAACCACUGGAGACGUGCAGAAGCAGUCAGAAUCAAAUGUCUUGGGGUUGCAACUCUUGACAUGGACAAUAUAUGCUUCCAUCUUGAGGAUAAAACAGGUGGGAGAAUCAUAUACCGUAGCAUAAAUAUACUCAUCCUAUAUCGUGGCCGGAACUAUGAUCCAAAACAACGGCCUGUCAUACCAUUGAUGUUGUGGAAGCCAUUGGCUCCUAUUUAUCCUAAGGUUGUCCAAAAUGUUGCUGAAGGGUUGACUUUUGAGGAAACAAAAGAAAUGAGAAACAAAGGAUUACAUUCGCCACCGCUUAUGAAACUGACUAGGAAUGGUGUUUAUGUUAAUGUUGUUGACAAAGUGAGAGAGGCCUUUAAGACUUUGGAAGUUGUGAGACUAGAUUGCUCUCAUUGCGGUACUAGUGAUUGCAAAAAAAUUGGUGUGAAGCUGAGGGAUUUGGUUCCAUGCAUCCCUAUACUAUUUAAAGAUGAACAAAUUAUUCUCUGGAGAGGGAAGCGGGACCAGGAGGACUCUGUUUCAGCUCAUUGUGCUUCUUGGCCACAGUGA